GAUCCUGGCUUAGGAUGAACGCUAGCGGCAGGCUUAACACAUGCAAGUCGAGGGGCAGCGGGAUGUAGCAAUACAUUGCCGGCGACCGGCGGAUGGGUGCGUAACGCGUAUGCAACCUACCUUAUACAGGGGAAUAACCCUUCGAAAGGGAGACUAACACCCCAUAGUAUUGAUUUAAGGCAUCUUAGAUUAAUUAAAUAUUUAUAGGUAUAAGAUGGGCAUGCGUAUGAUUAGCUAGUUGGUAAGGUAACGGCUUACCAAGGCGACGAUCAUUAGGGGUUCUGAGAGGAAGGUCCCCCACACUGGUACUGAGACACGGACCAGACUCCUACGGGAGGCAGCAGUGAGGAAUAUUGGUCAAUGGGCGCAAGCCUGAACCAGCCAUGCCGCGUGCAGGAAAGACGGCCUUAUGGGUUGUAAACUGCUUUUAUAGUAGAAGAAACACAUCUACGCGUAGAUGUCUGCCAGUAUACUAUGAAUAAGCAUCGGCUAACUCCGUGCCAGCCGCCGC
rnacentral:rRNA from 1 species